CAGGAUUCGGAUAUACUUCUGAGACCAUGGAGAAGGCAGCCAGAUAGAAUCAGGACCUCCUGGGAGCUGGUCUCUUUGUAGGGCCUUCCUCUUUGGCUGAUUUUUCUCCAGAGGCCAAAUUGCCUCCUCUCCUUCCCUUCAUCCUCUUUCUCCUCCCUUUCUUUUUCUUUCUCCUGGCAUUCGCCAAGGCAUUGGCCUCUAUUCCCUCACCUAAAUUUCUAUUGAGACACUUCGCUGGCAGCUCCCACAUUUAUGUGCAACUUGGAACCGUCUCUGGGGCUACAGGCACAGAGGCCUGACUGGUACUGCUCACAUGCAAUAAUUAACAGCUGAGUGGCCUUCGCCCAAUCUCAGCCUCCA
rnacentral:lncRNA from 1 species